rnacentral:rRNA from 1 species
CACAGCCGCGGUAAUACGAAGGGGGCUAGCGUUGCUCGGAAUUACUGGGCGUAAAGGGCGCGUAGGCGGACAGUUAAGUUGGGGGUGAAAGCCCGGGGCUCAACCUCGGAAUUGCCUUCAAUACUGGCUGUCUUGAGUAUGAGAGAGGUGUGUGGAACUCCGAGUGUAGAGGUGAAAUUCGUAGAUAUUCGGAAGAACACCAGUGGCGAAGGCGACACACUGGCUCAUUACUGACGCUGAGGCGCGAAAGCGUGGGGAGCAAACAGGAUUAGAUACCCCGGUAGUCCCUGUCUCUUAUACA